GACGAACGCUGGCGGCGUGCUUAACACAUGCAAGUCGAACGAAGCUUGAUUACGGAUUCUUCGUAUGAAGUAUGAUAUGACUGAGUGGCGGACGGGUGAGUAACGCGUGAGUAACCUGCCCUCCAGAGGGGGAUAGCGUUUGGAAACGAACGGUAAUACCGCAUUAUGUAUUUUGACCGCAUUAUCGAAAUACCAAAGAUUUAUCGCCGAAGGAUGGACUCGCGUUUGAUUAGGUUGUUGGGGGGGUAACGGCCUACCAAGCCGACGAUCAGUAGCCGGACUGAGAGGUUGAUCGGCCACAUUGGGACUGAGACACGGCCCAGACUCCUACGGGAGGCAGCAGUGGGGAAUAUUGCACCAUGGGCGCAAGCCUGAUGCAGCAACGCCGCGUGAAGGAAGACGGUUGUCGGAUUGUAAACUUCUGUUGUUAGUGAAGAAUAAUGACGGUAGCUAAGGAGCAAGCCACGGCUAACUACGUG
rnacentral:rRNA from 1 species